rnacentral:rRNA from 1 species
GACAGAGGUGCCAAGCGUUAGGCGGAAUUAUUGGGCGUAAAGAGCUCGUAGGCGGUUUGUCGCGUCUGCCGUGAAAGUCCGGGGCUCAACUCCGGAUCUGCGGUGGGUACGGGCAGACUAGAGUGAUGUAGGGGAGACUGGAAUUCCUGGUGUAGCGGUGAAAUGCGCAGAUAUCAGGAGGAACACCGAUGGCGAAGGCAGGUCUCUGGGCAUUAACUGACGCUGAGGAGCGAAAGCAUGGGGAGCGAACAGG